ensembl:ncRNA B0310.11 ncRNA
GCGGAGGGGGAGGAGUAUAAUAGGAAAACUACAGUAACCGCCCGUCCCCGGAGAAAGAGAGACAGAGUAAAGGAGGUAACUUGCCCCCGGACCGCAUUCUCGAGAGAAGGA